rnacentral:lncRNA from 10 species
AUCAGACCUGCCCAAUCCAGCAGAAACAGGUUUGGAGAGAGAAAGAGUCAUGUCGCGGAUCUCCAGAAAGUGUCUCCCUGAUGGACUGGGAAGCGAUCUUCGUAGAAUUUAUUCAGCCAGAUCAAGAGGCAACUAGGCCCCUCAGAAACAGGGGAGACAGAGCAAGAGGGAGGACAGAGCACAGGCCAGAGCCCAGGCAGGUUACAGAACCUUGCCACCGCCACAGGCAUAAGGGGAGGGGUGCGAAACGCAUGACUUGUCCAGAGAGGCCAGCAUUCCAGGGACAGGGAUUGUUGCCGUCUCCCAUUCCCGGCUUCCUCUUCAGAAUUGUAUCGUGGUGUGGCUUCAUUGCUCAGAGAAGAGCCGUGCAGGGGUACAACCAUCUUCUUGGAGGUGUGUCUGCUCCUCUCCUGCCGGACAAUGAGCUGCUGAUUCACUGACAGCUUGCACCAUGAGCCUGGAAAAGCUGUGGACACUCAACGUCAGCCCAUGAAAACAGCCACGAGGUGGGCUAUACCCUGCAAAGCCACAGAGGCAGAACUGCCCAAGGCUGCUGGAUUUUGGACUUGCAUGGGGCCUGUAACCCCUUUGUUUUGGCAAAUUUCUCCCAUUUGGAACGGCUGUAUUUACUCAAUGACCUGUACCCCCAUUGUAUCUAGGAAGUAACUAGCUUGAUUUGGAUUUUACAGGGUCAUAGGCAGAAGAGACUUGCCUUGUCUCAGAUGAGACUUUGGACAGUGGACAUUUGGGUUAAUACUGAAAUUAGUUAAGACUUUGGGGGACUGUUGGGAAGGCAUGAUCGGUUUUGAAGUGUGAGGACAUGAGAUUUGGAGGGGCCAGGAGCAGAAUAAUAUGGUUUGACUAUGUCCCUACCCACAUCUCAACUUCAAUUGUAUUGCUCAGGAUUCCCAUGUGUUCGGGGAGGGAACCG